rnacentral:tRNA from 11 species
UUCGCGUGCCGAGAUUUGAACUCGGGCAUCUGACAUGGAAGGCAAUCAUGUUACCACUACUCCACCAGCACACGC